rnacentral:rRNA from 1 species
CGGAGGCAGCAGUGGGGAAUAUUGCUCAAUGGGCGAAAGCCUGAAGCAGCAACGCCGCGUGUGCGAUGAAGGCCUUCGGGUCGUAAAGCACUUUUCUGAGGGAUGAGAAAGGACAGUACCUCAGGAAUAAGUCUCGGCUAACUACGUGCCAGCAGCCGCGGUAAAACGUAGGAGGCGAGCGUUAUCCGGAUUCACUGGGCGUAAAGCGCGUGCAGGCGGUUCGGUAAGUUGGGCGUGAAAUCUCUUGGCUUAACUAGGAGAGGUCGUUCAAUACUACCGGACUUGAGAAUGGUAGAGGAAGAUGGAAUUCCCGGUGUAGUGGUGAAAUGCGUAGAUAUCGGGAGGAACACCAGUGGCGAAAGCGAUCUUCUGGACCAUUUCUGACGCUCAGACGCGAAAGCUAGGGUAGUAAACGGGAUUAGAUACCCCGGU